rnacentral:misc_RNA from 1 species
GAUGAAGAACGCAGCGAAAUGCGAUAAGUAAUGUGAAUUGCAGAAUUCAGUGAAUCAUCGAAUCUUUGAACGCACCUUGGGCUCCUUGGUAUUCCGAGGAGCAUGCCUGUUUGAGUGUCAUUAAUAUAUCAACCUUCUCUUUUUUGAGUUGUUUGGAUGUGGGGGUUUGCUGGCCUCUUAAAUGAUUCAGCUCCCCUGAAAUGCAUUAGCAGAACAACCUGUUCAUUAGCGUGAUAAUUAUCUAUGCUAUUGAAUGUGAGGGCAGUUCAGCUUUCUAACCGUCCUUGGACAAUUCAUCAUUAAUGUGACCUCAAAUCAGGUAGGACUACCCGCUGAACUUAAGCAUAUCAAUAAGCGGAGGA